AUGGUGGAAAACGAAAAAAAAAAAGAAAACAACAAAAUCGAAAAAUAUACGAGGUACUGUGAGGAGGAUAGGUUUGACAGAAGGUGUAAAUAUAGCAACAAUGAUUACAGCUUCUCUAAGGGACAAGAAACUCGAAGACUAGAGGGCAAAUUAAUAGCUAAUGCAGGGCUGGAUUUUUGGACUGGUAUGCAGGUUUGUACAACAGUGAAUAAGGAUAGCAACAUGGCUGUUUUUUGCAGCAGUUGUUUGGACAGUAUUGGGCUGUUUGUGGACAUCAACAUGGUGGACAGGUUAUGGUUAACAUUACAGCGUGGGAGGUUUUAUGAGUUUGUGGUCAACAAGGGUUUGGCAUUAAUAUGGAUUCAAAAUACUUGGUUUUAUAGAAUUAGCCAAGUUAUCUCGAGGAUUACAAAUAUACCUUAUAGUUUUAAUCUUGUAGAAUUUUUGUAA